rnacentral:rRNA from 1 species
AAACGUAGGAGGCAAGCGUUAUUCGGAUUUAUUGGGCGUAAAGCGCGUGCAGGCGGUCUGACAAGUUGGAUGUGAAAGCUCCUGGCUCAACUGGGAGACGUCGUUCAAAACUGUUGGACUAGAGAAUGGGAGAGGGAGGUGGAAUUCCGGGUGUAGUGGUGAAAUGCGUAGAUAUCCGGAGGAACACCAGUGGCGAAAGCGGCCUCCUGGACCAUUUCUGACGCUAAGACGCGAAAGCUAGGGUAGCAAACGGGAUUAGAGACCCCGGUAGUCCUAGCCGUAAACGAUGUAGACUUGGCGUUGGCGGAGUUAAAUCUGCCAGUGCCGGAGCUAACGCGUGAAGUCUACCGCCUGGGGAUUACGACCGCAAGGUUAAA